rnacentral:lncRNA from 1 species
AUGCCAAACGGUUGUUGUCAACGAUUCCCCUCAAAGGGGUGUUUUGAUCGUAAACUUAGGGGGUUCGAGGAGGACACGAUGACAAAGUUCAUCGUUUGGACGAAAGACAAAGCUUUUGGUGUGGACGACCCCAAACCCUUAUCUAAAAAAAUUAAGUGGAAACUCCAGUAUGUUCCUUUUGACGGGAUUCCCUUCAUGGUGGUUGGGAGGAGGGUCUACUCCUGUCACCAAGGGGUAGACAAGCACAAACAUGAAAAACUGACAAGACAGCUACAACUGCUUGAUGACCACUCAGACCAUUGUUAUGAAGAGAGGCGACGUCUUCAAGACUCGAAGAAAUUGGACUGUCCAGCCAGAAUAUAUGUGGUUCAUCUAAUCAGAUUCCCUGAUUACAAGAUACCUAAAUGA